UGGGCUGUAGCCAAGCGGUAAGGCAACGGGUUUUGGUCUCGUCAUGCCCAGGUUCGAAUCCUGGCAGCCCAG
rnacentral:tRNA from 2 species